rnacentral:rRNA from 1 species
AACGAACGCUGGCGGCAGGCCUAACACAUGCAAGUCGAGCGAGGACUUCGGUCCUAGCGGCGGACGGGUGAGUAACGCGUGGGAACGUGCCCUUUGCUUCGGAAUAGCCCUGGGAAACUGGGAGUAAUACCGGAUGAGCCCUUUGGGGGAAAGAUUUAUCGGCGAAGGAUCGGCCCGCGUUGGAUUAGGUAGUUGGUGGGGUAAUGGCCUACCAAGCCGACGAUCCAUAGCUGGUUUGAGAGGAUGAUCAGCCACACUGGGACUGAGACACGGCCCAGACUACUACGGGAGGGAGCAGUGGGGAAUCUUAGACAAUGGGGGAAACCCUGAUCUAGCCAUGCCGCGUGAGAGAUGAAGGCCUUAGGGUUGUAAAGCUCUUUCAGCUGGGAAGAUAAUGACGGUACCAGCAGAAGAAGCCCCGGCUAACUCCGUG